CAAUAGCGUAUAUUAAAGUUGUUGCGGUUAAAAAGCUCGUAGUUGGAUUUCUGGCUUUCUCGACUCGUCCACCCUCUGGGUGAGUAUGUAGCUCGGGAUCGCCAUCUUGUUGGAGAUCGUGUCGCUUCGGCGUACGGAAUCCAGCCGUUUACUUUGAGGAAAUGAGAGUGUUCCAAGCAGGCAUCCGCCUUGAAUACGUUAGCAUGGAAUAAUAAGAUAGGAUCUCGGUGCUAUUUUGUUGGUUUUGAGAACUGAGAUAAUGAUUAAUAGGGAUAGUUGGGGGCAUUCGUAUUCAACUGUCAGAGGUGAAAUUCUUGGAUUAGUUGACGACGAGCUACUGCGAAAGCAUUUGCCAAGGAUGUUUUCAUUGAUCAAGAACGAAAGUUAGGGAUCGAAGACGAUCAGAUACCAU
rnacentral:rRNA from 1 species